GUUCAAACUCGGAACCAAGAGAUUUUAGCAAAGGACUAAAAAUGAAAGACCACCAAUUUGAGAGUAAAAAAUUAAAGACCACCCCUGAAUAAGGACAGUCGUGCAAAUUGCCCGUUUAAUUCCCAUUUCAGCCUAAAUUGGUCCAAAGAUCCAGCCCAGCUUACAUAUAACCCGACCCGACCCGACCCGGGUUCCUUUCCAUUUUCCACAAAACCACAAAACGAACACAGCAGCCCUAAAUCAUCUCUCCCACGCAAAAUCACAGCUACAAAAAUGGGUUUCGGAGCCCUAAGAUCAAUAAUCCGACCCCUUUCUUAUCGACCCGACCCGUAUCCGCACUCAACUCUCCGGCGACAAGAAUAUCUCCGGGUCCGUAUGCAUGGGUAAAAUAUACCCCCCCAGUGAACCUAUAAGUCCAAACAAUCCCAAUGAAGGAAGUGUCAAGCGAAGGAAUGAGAAGAAGAGAAUCGGGCAGAGAAAGGCAUUUAUAUUGGUAUGUCAAAUAAUAUCUUCUGUGAUGAACAUCAAUGAUGGACCUGCUUCCUCCAGUUGGUGAGACUGCAUCCUGUCAAAUAAAAUUUUAAAA